AAUAUCAUAUGGGAUUUCUUCAAAAAAUGAUAAUUUAGAUCUAAAUGAGCUAAAAACUGAACAUAAAUAAGUAGACUAAUUGACGAGAUAUCACAUGUAGAAAACAAAGAAUAACGAUUGCCACAAGCUUCCAGGCUCCGUUUCAUAUCGGCAGGCCUUCUCAACGUACUUAGAAUCCUUUAGGCACCAACAGGAAAAAUUCAGUUGGAAAAGCAAUGAA
rnacentral:misc_RNA from 1 species